ensembl:lncRNA
CACACACCUGACAUUCCACAGCGCUCAGCCUGGCUCCGACACACGGCUCCGACACACGGCGAUAAGCUCCGAGGCGUUAGUGUGUGUGUGUGUGUGUGUGUGUGUGUGUGUGUGUGUGUGUGUGGUAGAUGGCGACUGUGUGGAGCAGUACCAUCAACUGUAUUCCUCGUGUCCCCGCUCUGUGUUUGUCGUAAACAAAAAGAGGGCAGUUGGAUGCUGCCAAAAUCCCACUCAUCAUUCAGGUCAGUCAGGUAACAUUACUUCCAUUGUUCUGACUCAAUGUGUCCUUCAGUAUUUGUGGAGAAACAUUUUCAGACACUGCAAGAUACAGUUUGUGCCUGUUGUCAAUUCUGCAAACAGUUGACCUGCAACUGAAUAUGUAACUAGUGCCUCCAUGUGUGUAGUUAUAACAUUGAUCACAUCCAAACAGGUGCUCAUGUACAUAGUUUAUUUCUCUUAAAACUGCAUUGUUGGCUAAGGGCUUGUAAGCAAGCAUUUCACGGUAGCAUUUCACCUGUUGUAUUCGGCGCAGGUGACACAUUCAUUUUGAUUUGAUUGGAUUCCACAACCCUACAUGUCAGCACUCGUCGUGUUUUGUGUUGUUUUUGUGGACGCCAGGAACAGUAUCUGCUGUUUAUGCAAAAGCUAAUGGGUUUACAAAUACUCAAAUAGACAGGACUGUGAUGUUGAUGUGGGGUGACCAGGAUGGACUCCAACAAAUCACAGAAGAAGAACGUGAGAGAGAGAAACAAAGAAGGAGAGAGGAGAAGAAAGAAGGAGAGAGGAGAAGAAAGAAGGAGAGAGGAGAAGAAAGAAGGAGAGAGAGAAACAAAGGAGAGAGGCGAAGAAAGAAGGAGAGAGGAGAAGAAAGAAGGAGAGAGGAGAAGAAAGAAGGAGAGAGGAGAAGAAAGAAGGAGAGAGGAGAAGAAAGAAGGAGAGAGAGAAACAAAGGAGAGAGGAGAAGAAAGAAGGAGAGAGAAAGAAGAAAGAAGGAGAGAGGAGAAGAAAGAAGGAGAGAGGAGAAGAAAGAAGGAGAGAGGAGAAGAAAGAAGGAGAGAGAGAAACAAAGGAGAGAGGAGAAGAAAGAAGGAGAGAGGAGAAGAAAGAAGGAGAGAGGAGAAGAAAGAAGGAGAGAGAGAAACAAAGAAGGAGAGAGGAGAAGAAAGAAGGAGAGAGAGAAACAAAGAAGGAGAGAGAGAAACAAAGAAGGAGAGAGGAGAAGGAAGGGGUUACAGGAAAACAUACAUCACAGCUGGCGUCUGUAGCCAGAACCAACACGAUCCAUCCGCCUGGGACUCCACUUCACGGGAUUGGCUGGACCUCCGCCCAGGGUCAAAGGUGUGGGAAGGACAUCUCCAGACUGGAGAUGAUGGAGACCGAGAGAGACCAAGAUGGAGACCCAGUAAUGAUGAUGAAGCUGUAAGGUGGUGGAAACAGGUGAUCCUGCUGGCUGGGCCAAGCCUCCACAUUCAAAAAGAAUUGGACUGUUCCCAGGCUCUCUCAUGCAUCUCUAAGCUCUCCAACACAGGACAAUUUACUGGCUGGGAGCAGCAUAGCCAAGGACCAAGAGCUGGGUAAUGUGUAUGUGUGCUUCUGUGUGCGCAUGUGGGUUAGUGUCUGUGCCUCAAUGCAUGUGUGGGUGACUACAGUAUAUAUUCAUAUGGAAC